AUGUGGGGUCUGGGUUUGAGCUCUGGCAGCUGCUGGGGCUGGUCCGGGCUCUGUGACCCCCCAGUCAGCAGCACCCUGUGCUCACAGACCUGCUGUAGCGUACCUGCAGUGCAACUUCUGCUGUUCUGGUCGGUCCUUGCCCUUGGAAGACAGGAUUCAUCCUUGACUCCCUCACAACACAAUAAGUCAAUACAGAUCUGCACAGCAGUCGGAGCUCCAGACAAAGCUGCAAGGUUUGGUGCAGCAGUCAGAAACCUGACAACACCGGGCCCCGCGCUCCCUGCGCUGUGCCGCCCGCCGAAGGUCUCCCUCCCCUGCCGCUUGGGAGCGGGCCGGGGGGGUCCCCGCCGGGGGGGGCCGUCGGUGCGGGGCGCUCCGCGGCCGCGCACGCUGCCAGAGCCUUGUGCCCCGCUGCUGUUCCAUGGCCGCUGCCGUUUCUCGGCCCCGUUCCCUUUCUCUCCCAGUUCCUUUUCUUUCCCUGCCGCGGAAAAUCGCUGCCCAGCUCGCGGUGCCGCGCCUGGGGCACGGGGACCGGCCGCUCGGGGCGGGCGUCUGCCGGGACAGACCGAGCCCCGAGCCCCGGCGCGGCGUGCGCGCAGCCGAAAGCUGGCGCCGAGCCCCCGGCUCGUCUUUUUUGUUGCCGUCCCCACCUCUUCGAUUCAGCCCGGGCAUUAAUCUCCUUUAGCGCUCGCUGCCGAGGGGCCGGGCUUGCACAGCGCGCAGUUUAUUAACGGAGGAGAUUUCGGGCGCGGCGGGCGCGGGGCCGCUUCCUCGGGCGUGCUUUUGUUCCCAGCGGUUUGCCCCGAGGCGGGGAUUCCCCGGCGGCCGGGCGCGGGUGGGUGCGGGUCCCGGCCGGGGAGGCGGCCCCGCGGGGCCGUCGGGGGGCGGGCAGCCCCCGCCCGCGGCGCAGCGCUGCGAGCUGGGAC
rnacentral:lncRNA from 1 species